AGCCUCCCACUACUUUACCACAGGCUGUGUUCUUAUCCUGACUGUAUAGAAAGAGGAGGCAAAGUAAACCUACCCCAUGUACACUUCAGCCUAGGCCACUGUGACUGGUCUGUAUUGUGAAUAGGGAGACAUAG